AGAACGAACGCUGGCGGCAUGCCUAACACAUGCAAGUCGAACGCUUGCCCGGUUUCGGCCGGGCAGGAGUGGCGCACGGGUGAGUAGCGCGUGGGAACCUGCCCUGUUGUGGGGAUAACCGAGGGAAACUUCGGCUAAUACCGCAUGCGCCCGGAGCAAUCCGGGGAAAGAUUUAUCGCAGCAGGAGGGGCCCGCGUCGGAUUAGGUAGUUGGUGGGGUAACGGCCCACCAAGCCUGUGAUCCGUAGCUGGUCUGAGAGGAUGAUCAGCCACACUGGGACUGAGACACGGCCCAGACUCCUACGGGAGGCAGCAGUGGGGAAUAUUGGACAAUGGGCGCAAGCCUGAUCCAGCAAUGCCGCGUGAGUGAUGAAGGCCUUAGGGUUGUAAAGCUCUUUCGCCCGCGACGAUGAUGACGGUAGCGGGAGAAGAAGCCCCGGCUAACUUCGUGCCAGCAGCCGC
rnacentral:rRNA from 1 species